AUUUGGAGCUCUUCUCCUCUCUUAAUUUUGAUUUAUUAAGUCUAUAGAAUUCUUGCAGUAUGUCUUAAACCCCAAUUUCAACCUUUUUUUACUCCUUUUGAAACCUGGGCAGUUGGGAUUUUAUCUAUGCGGAAUAUGUGAUGGUGGCUGGAUCUCACUAUCGAUCAGUCCUUCAGCAGAUUGCUGAAGAUUAUUCCCAUAGCGAGUUUGUAAUCCGUCUACCUGGGUACAGCCCAAUGCCUGCAUUUUAUGGUGUUAUUGAUGUACCCCUUGUCAUGACGAGAUUACACAAAUCUAGAGAAGAGGUGUGAUUUAGAAC